GCUCUGUGAGGCAGAAGCUUGGAAACUGCAGCUCUGAAGAGGAGCUUCGUCCUAGAAGGCGGGGCUAGGUCCACCCAGGCGUUUGGCACAGUUGAAUGGUUAGAGAACAUCUCAAACGAGCAUGAAUGAAUCAAGUCAACACUCCAGGUAGGUUUUUAGAUGAGGGAAUAACAUUAUAACACAAUGUAAGGCUCAAAAAAGUUGUUUUUUGGAA